CGUGCCUAGCAACCGUAGCUUCCCUUUGCAGACACACUCAACGGUUCCCUUGGUAACCGUGUGCACCUGCUGCUGCUGCUGCUGCUGCUUCAUGAUGGACGGAGGUGUUAUGCGAUAUUUUUGUUAUCCUUUUUUUAUUUGCUGAACUUUCUAAAUUGCCCUAAUCUUCUCUGAACUGGACUCGUCAUGUGUUGAUGCUCAUAGGCGUUACCGUAACUAUUAACGGUUAACGUACUUGAAUAUUGACAGAAGAGGAAGAGAACCUCGCUGAGGAGAAACAGGAGGAAGAGGAGCCUGUCAUCAGUGACCCAGAGCAAAAAGAGGAAGAAGAGCCACAGCGGACCUCCCCCUCGCCACCUCCAAGUCCUGAACCAGUUACAACCCAGCCCAAGGCUGAUCCAGAAUCAGAACCAGAAACCGACAUCAAGGAAGCCAAUGAAGACGCUGAGCCUGUAACCCAGCAGCCACAGAAAUCGAAGGCAGAUGGUCAAAGCCCAGAUUCUGACAAAGCUAGUGACAAAGAGGAGGAAGCUACUGGGGAAGGCUGUGGUGCUCCAGUCAGCUGUGAUGCAUUCAAGAGCUGCCUGAUGCGCAUUCCUCACACCUCAGAGUGCCUGGGCAACAUCAACGCGUACUUCAAAGAGAAUGGCAUUUCUGCCCCCAAACUACCCUCCAUGCCUGAGAUGCCCAAACAGCUUUCUGACGUCACCAAGUACUUACCCAGCCUACC